UACGUAGGGGGGCAAGCGUUGUCCGGAUUCAUUGGGCGUAAAGAGCGUGUAGGCGGCCAGGUAGGUCGGUUGUGAAAACUGGAGGCUCAACCUUCAGAGGUCGACCGAAACCAUCUGGCUAGAGUCCGGGAGAGGAGAGUGGAAUUCCUGGUGUAGCGGUGAAAUGCGCAGAUAUCAGGAAGAACACCCGUGGCGAAAGCGGCUCUCUGGAACGGUACUGACGCUGAGACGCGAAAGCGUGGGGAGCGAACAGG
rnacentral:rRNA from 1 species